ACCAUGGUUGACUGCAUAAUGCUAUGGAAGCCACUUCAUAUUAAUUAGUUUAGGUAAAAGACUUGUAAAAGAGAUAAAGAGACAGUGUGGUGUAAAUAUACAGGCUUUGGAGUCAAAGAGCCAGGGUUCAAGUUCUGACUUUCUAACUGUAUGACCUUGAGCAAGUAAAUUACUUAAUCUCUCUAGGCCUCAGUCUCCUUAUCUGUACAAUGGAGCUAGGAAUAGUUGCUGGCUCAUAAGUGCUACAUAAGUACUACAUAAGUACUAGCUUUUCUUGUUUUCACAGAAACAGAAAACUGAACCCCAUUUGAACUUGCUUCUCCUUAAGUCCUGUCCAAGACACAAAAGGAACAAAAAUGGCAUUGAGAUCCUGGCUGCUUAUGUCCAAGAUGAAGCUAGGACCUUCAGAAGCAAGCUCAAGAGAUGAUGAAUGAAGGAAGGUGGAGCUCCGAAGACCAUGAAGAACUGCUACAGAAGAAAACAAGCUUUCAAUAAAAUAAAAGAGACAUCAAUCACACAUUUUACCCAUUUAUGAAACAUGCUCAGGACAAGGUACUCAGACGUGAAGAAGCAUUCCCAGGAACCAUCUUGGAGAACUGGACUUGGUAACAUGAGAGCUGGGAAGUCCCAAUUCUUGGUCAUGAAGAGUCUACCACGAAGAGAAUUGGUUUGGAAACCAGAAGGCUAACUUUUACAUGAGGCACCAGGGCUAAUGCCCACAGAUUUCAGAGAGGACAAUAAUGGGUAUUUCUGAUGUUGAAAUCCUAGGAUUGAUCUGACAGCACAAACCAAAUGCCAGCAGUUUCCCUGGAGUUCUGCUGCGUGCUUUUGCCAACCCUGAUGAUCCAGAGGACCUCACAUCUCAAGUGGCUCCUAUGGUGAAGGAACUACGGAGUUUCUCUGAGCACCUAAGAUUACUCUGCUUCAAGGAACUCAUGAGUGUGUGGACAGAAAAUAUCUUUGAGGGAUUCCCAGGAGUGACUCCAAUGAAAGACCAAGAGAACAACAGCUCUUCGGUGUUAAAGCCACAAGACCAAGAGCAGACACAGCAUCCAGAAGAAAACCUCUAUUGGCAAGCACAAGACAGUGAUCACAGAUGUGGCCCCAGACGACGGAAGGACAGGAGUGCAGCACGCUGAAAUGUCGGAAUACUACACGCCUGCAAUUGCCUUUCCCUCUGGCAUUUAAUGAGAAAUAAAAAGCACAUGUGAAGGUU
rnacentral:lncRNA from 1 species